rnacentral:tRNA from 1 species
GCAGGCGUAGCUCAAACGGGAGAGCAUCAAAAAACGCCUUCAGUCAUCCCUUGUCCGUUCGCGGGCCGGCGACCGAGGGUUAUCGACUGAUAAUCGGAAGGAUGCUGGUUCGAAUCCAGCCGCCUGCA